rnacentral:ncRNA from 1 species
CAGUUGGGAGGUCCGCCGUAGCGGAUCGCAGGGGUUUGUCCCCACCCGGCUGC